UCAAGAUAUUAAGAGCUUAUGGUGAAUGGCUUGGUUGGUACAGACGAUGAAGGACGUGGCAAGCUGCGAUAAGCUGCGGUUAGGCGCAAGUAGCCUUUGACCCGCAGAUUUCCGAAUGAGACAACUCACUUGAGGUAAUACUCAAGAAUCUACGUUUACGUAGAAGAUAACCUGGGGAAGUGAAACAUCUCAGUACCCGGAGGAAAAGAAACCGAAAGGUAUUCCCAUAGUAGCGGCGAGCGAACAGGGAAGAGCCCAAACCUAAUAAGCGUUAAAGCCUGCUGGCGUUGCUUAUUUGGUGUCGCGGGGUGUUAGUGGAGAGUGUAGCAGAACUCUCGAGAAGUUACAAAUCUUAAUUAUAGUCGAAUCUGUUGGGAAAUAGAACCAUAGAAGGUGAAAGUCCUGUAGGCGAAAUAAUUAAGACUUCCUGAUUAACAUUCCCAAGUACUACGAGGCACGUGAAACCUUGUGGGAAUUCGCCCCGACCAUGGGGUAAGGCUAAAUACUCGUAUCAGACCGAUAGUGUACUAGUACCGUGAGGGAAAGCUGAAAAGAACCCCGGUGAGGGGAGUGAAAUAGAAUCUGAAACCAUAAGCUCACAAAGCGGUCAGAGCGUGACUUCGGUUGCGUAAUGGCGUACCUUUUGUAUAAUGGUCCAGGGAGUUAUUUUUUAUCGCAAGUUUAACUUUGGCACGAAAGUGUCGAAGGCAGGCGUAGAGAAAUCGAGUCCUAAUAGGGCGUUUUAGCGGUAAGUAAUAGACUCGAAGCCAGUCGAUCUACCCAUGGCCAGCGUGAAGUUUCGCGAAAGCGAAAUGAAGGCGCGAACCGGUGUCUGUUGAAAAAGGCUCGGAUGAGCUGUGGGUUGGAGUGAAAGGCUAAUCAAGGCUGGUGAUAGCUAGUUCUCCCCGAAAUGACUUUAGGGUCAGCCUCUAGUGGUGGGCUUAGGACGGUAGAGCACAGGAUGGGCUAGGGUGAAUUAUAUUCAUAUCAACCCCAACCUAACUCCGAAUUUCUUAAGUUUCUAGCUAGGGAGUGAGACUAUGGGGGCUAAGCUUCAUAGUCGAGAGGGAAACAGCCCAGACCGCCAGUUAAGGUCCCUAAAAGUAAGCUAAGUGUUAAAGGAUGUGAGGUCACAGAAACAGCCGGGAUGUUGGCUUAGAAGCAGCCAUCAUUUAAAGAGUUCGUAACAGAUCACCGGUCGAGUGAUUUUGCGCCGAAGAUAAUCGGGGCUCAAGCUUACUACCGAAACUGCGGGUUUUCCAACGUGAUGUUGGAGGGCAGUAGGGGAGCAUUCUGUAGGCGGUGAAGGUGUCGGUGUAAACCAUGCUGGAGCGUACAGAAGAGAGUAUCCUGGAAUAAGUAACGAAAAUUUCGAUGAAAACUUGAAACGCCGCAAGCCCAAGGUUUCUCCGUCAAUGUCUGUCAGACGGAGGUUAGGCGGUCCCUAAGGCGAACCCUGAGUUAAUCGGGGGUAGUCGAUGGAGAAAGGUGUUAAUAUUCACCUCCCACCUUUAGGCGUUAACUUAAGAGAUGACGCAUGGAAUGAGGUAGUCGAACGGUUGGAUGUGUUCGUCGAGUCGACGUAAGUUGUUCGGGAGCUCAAGCUACGGCGCGAGCGAACCUACCAGGAUGAAGUGCCGAGAAAUAAUCUCUUUUGUUGUCUAUUGGUGACCGUACCGAAAUCCGACACAGGUAGGCUGCCUGAAUAUGGUAAGGCGCUCGAGAGAAACCUCGCUAAGGAACUCGGCAAUAUAGCCCCGUACGUUUGCAAGAAGGGGUCCCUAACUUUUAGUUAGGGCACAGUAAAGUGGCUCCUGUGACUGUUUAGCAAAAACAUAGGUCUCUGCUAACUCGUAAGAGGAUGUAUAGGGACUGAAACCUGCCCGGUGCCAGAAGGUUAAGGCAAGAGGUCAUUUGAGGUUCGCCUCAGAGAAGCUUCGACCCGAAGCCCUGGUGAACGGCGGCCGUAACUAUAACGGUCCUAAGGUAGCGAAAUUCCUUGUCGGGUAAGUUCCGACCCGCACGAAUGGUUUAACAAUGGGAGCACUGUCUCAGCGUGGAUCUCGGUGAAAUUGUAGUGACGGUGAAGAUGCCGUCUACCCGCAGUAGGACGAAAAGACCCCGGAACCUUUACUGUAGGCUGGUAUUGAAUUUUGGCCCUGUAUGUGUAGGAUAGGUGGGAGACUUUGAAGCGGAAGCGUUAGCUUUUGUGGAGUCAUUGGUGAAAUACCACCCUUAUUGUGCUAAGGUUCUAACCUCUUAAAUGAGGGACAGUGCCAGUUGGGCAGUUUAACUGGGGCGGUUCCCUUCUAAAAUGUAACGAAGGGGCCCAAAGGUAUCCUCAGUCCGUUUGGAAAUCGGACGUCGAGUGUAAGGGCAUAUGGAUGCUUGACUGCGAGGCUGACAAGCUGAGCAGGACGGAAACGUGGGCCUAAUGAUCCGGUGGUAGCACAUGGGAGCGCCAUCGCUCAACGGAUAAAAGGUACUCCGGGGAUAACAGGCUUAUCGCGCCCGAGAGUUCAUAUCGACGGCGCGGUUUGGCACCUCGAUGUCGGCUCAUCACAUCCUGGGGCUGGAGAAGGUCCCAAGGGUCCGGCUGUUCGCCGGUUAAAGUGGUACGUGAGCUGGGUUCAGAACGUCGUGAGACAGUUCGGUCUCUAUCCACUGUGGGUGUUAGGAUUCUUGAAGGGAAGCUGUCCCUAGUACGAGAGGACCGGGACAGAGGAACCUCUGGUGUACCAGUUAUUCCGCCAGGAGUAAGGGCUGGGUAGCUACGUUCCUUAGAGAUAAGCGCUGAAAGCAUAUAAGCGCGAAACUCGUCUUAAAACGAGGAAUCCCUCUUCGGCUUCGGUCGGAGUGAAGGCUGGUGAGAGACUAUCACCUUGAUAGGGUGCAGGUGUAAGCGCAGUAAUGUGUUCAGCCGAGCACUACUAAUAAGCCAAUCGGCUUGAUACC
rnacentral:rRNA from 1 species